rnacentral:tRNA from 1 species
GCGUCUGUAGCUCAGUGGAUAGAGCGUUCGACUCCGACUCGAAAGGUCGUAGGUUCGACUCCUAUCAGGCGCACCA